GGUGGCAGAAAGAAGGCUAAUCGGUGGAGGUGGCAGAAAGAAGGCUAAUCGGUGGAGGUGGCAGAAAGAAGGCUAAUCGGUGGAGGUGGGAGAAAGAAGGCUAAUCGGUGGAGGUGGGAGAAAGAAGGCUAAUCGGUGGAGGUGGCAGAAAGAAGGCUAAUCGGUGGAGGUGGCAGAAAGAAGGCUAAUCAGUGGAGGUGGCAGAAAGAAGGCUAAUCGGUGGAGGUGGCAGAAAGAAGGCUAAUCGGUGGAGGUGGCAGAAAGAAGGCUAAUCGGUGGAGGUGGCAGAAAGAAGGCUAAUCGGUGGAGGUGGGAGAAAGAAGGCUAAUCAGUGGAGGUGGCAGAAAGAAGGCUAAUCAGUGGAGGUGGGAGAAAGAAGGCUAAUCGGUGGAGGUGGGAGAAAGAAGGCUAAUCGGUGGAGGUGGCAGAAAGAAGGCUAAUCGGUGGAGGUGGGAGAAAGAAGGCUAAUCGGUGGAGGUGGCAGAAAGAAGGCUAAUCGGUGGAGGUGGCAGAAAGAAGGCUAAUCGGUGGAGGUGGCAGAAAGAAGGCUAAUCAGUGGAGGUGGGAGAAAGAAGGCUAAUCGGUGGAGGUGGCAGAAAGAAGGCUAAUCGGUGGAGGUGGGAGAAAGAAGGCUAAUCGGUGGAGGUGGCAGAAAGAAGGCUAAUCAGUGGAGGUGGGAGAAAGAAGGCUAAUCGGUGGAGGUGGGAGAAAGAAGGCUAAUCGGUGGAGGUGGCAGAAAGAAGGCUAAUCGGUGGAGGUGGCAGAAAGAAGGCUAAUCGGUGGAGGUGGGAGAAAGAAGGCUAAUCAGUGGAGGUGGCAGAAAGAAGGCUAAUCGGUGGAGGUGGGAGAAAGAAGGCUAAUCGGUGGAGGUGGGAGAAAGAAGGCUAAUCAGUGGAGGUGGCAGAAAGAAGGCUAAUCGGUGGAGGUGGGAGAAAGAAGGUUAAUCAGUGGAGGUGGGAGAAAGAAGGCUAAUCGGUGGAGGUGGGAGAAAGAAGGCUAAUCGGUGGAGGUGGGAGAAAGAAGGCUAAUCGGUGGAGGUGGGAGAAAGAAGGUUAAUCGGUGGAGGUGGCAGAAAGAAGGCUAAUCAGUGGAGGUGGCAGAAAGAAGGCUAAUCAAAUGUGCAAUGCUGUAUCUAUUGAACCCAGCAAAACAGCAGAAUGACCGGUCUCAACGCACUCAAAACGAUACUGGUCACCAACGGGCGACUCAGCCAAACAGAUGAGGUGCUACUCAGUCACACACACACACACAGUCACACACACACACACACAGAGUCACACAGAGAGGGGAGAGGGGUGAGCGGGAGAGGGGUGAGCGGGAGAGGGGUGAGGAGAGAGCGGGAGG